rnacentral:rRNA from 1 species
AUGGCUGUCGUCAGCUCGUGUCGUGAGAUGUGGGUUAAGUCCCGCAACGAGCGCAACCCUUGUCAUUAGUUGCCAUCAUUGGUUGGGCACUCUAAUGAGACUGCCGGUGACAAACCGGAGGAAGGUGGGGAUGACGUCAAGUCCUCAUGGCCUUUAUGACCAGGGCUACACACGUACUACAAUGGCCGGUACAAAGGGCAGCCACUUAGCGAUAAGGAGCCAAUCCCGUAAAGCCGGUCUCAGUCCGGAUUGGAGUCUGCAACUCGACUCCAUGAAGUUGGAAUCGCUAGUAAUCGCAGAUCAGCACGCUGCGGUGAAUACGUUCCCGGGCCUU